GGGGGUGGUGGUGGUACAGCGGCCUGGAAGCCUCUUAAAGAUAUCCACGUAAUAAUGUUUUUCGUAAGUGAGGAAGAACACUGAAUUUCAAAAACUACUUAAUUUGUCAUACUUUAUAAAAGAAAUGAAUGGAGUAGAAGGUCAAAAUUAAACACUUUGAUGGGACAGGUUAAAUUGUAUCAGCAUAUCCUUUUUCCUAGCAUAGUCAUGUCUUCAAUCUUACACUCGUCUUUCGCUAAAUGUGUUAAAAAAUGUUAUCUUUUUCAAACCGAAGUAGAAAAAAGUGGAUGAAUGACAGUCUGCUGUUGAUAAAAUGUUUUACUCAAUUUAAGAUGGAAGCUUAGAUUAUUUAAUUCCUUCUCUGUCAUCUGGUAGUUACGGAUUCGAGACCUUGAAGGAGCUUUGCAAGUAGAAAAGGCUAGCCAAGCAGAAGCUGUUGCUGAUUUGGAAAUGAUCAAGAAUGAAUUCAAAGAAGUUGAAAGUGCAUAUGAGCGAGAAAAGCAUAAUGCACAAAAGAGCUUUGAAAAACUAAAUUUGUUAGAAAGAGAGUAUUUCUCCAAAAAUAAGAAACUAAAUGAAGAGAUCGAGCAACAGAAGCAAGUAAUUAUAGAUCUUUCAAAGAGACUUCAGUAUAAUGAAAAAAGUUGCAGUGAAUUACAAGAAGAACUUGUAAUGGCUAAGAAGCACCAGGCCUUCCUAGUAGAGACAUGUGAAAAUAAUGUGAAAGAAUUAGAAUCGAUCUUGGACAGCUUUACUGUGUCGGGCCAGUGGACAUCAGGCAUCCACAAGGACAAAGAUAAACCUCCCAGCUUCUCUGCUGUCCUUGAGACUUUGAGGUGUACCUUGACAGAUUACCAGAGCAAGCUAGAAGAUGCAUCUAAUGAGCUAAACAGCAUGAAUGAUGCUAAGGAAAAGGCAUCUAAUGAACUUGAUUCCACCAAACUGAAGAUUGAAUUUCACACUAAAAAUAUAAAGGAACUUCAAGAUAAACUGGCUGAAGUCCGUAAAGAGUUAAGUCAUUUACGCACUAAAUGUGCAGACCGAGAAGCUUUAAUAAGCACUUUAAAAGUAGAACUACAAAAUGUGCUGCACUGUUGGGAGAAAGAAAAGUCACGAGCAGCCCAAUAUGAAAGUGAACUUCAGAAGCUGUCCCAGGCUUUCCAUAAGGACACUGAGGAGAAGCUAACCUUCCUUCAUACCUUGUAUCAACACUUGGUAGCCGGCUGUGUGCUCAUGAAACAACCAGAAGGCAUGUUGGAUAAAUUCUCCUGGUCUGAGCUUUGUGCAGUCUUGCAGGAGAAUGUUGAUGCCCUUGUUGCAGACCUCAACAGGGCUAAUGAGAAGGUAAGCCAUCUAGAGUAUAUCUGUAAAAAUAAGUCGGACACAAUGAGAGAACUUCAACAAACCCAGGAAGACACCUUUAACAAAGUGGCCGAACAGAUCAAAGCCCAAGAGAGCUGCUGGCACAAACGAAAGAAGGAACUGGAAUUACAGUAUUCUGAACGUUUGCUGAAGUUGCAAAAGAGGGCACAGAAAUUUCAAGAAAUUGCAGAAAAAAAUAUGGACAAAUUGAACUAUAUUGAGAAGUCACAUGCACAGUUAAUUCUUGAAAAUUCACAGUUCAAAAAUGUGUUGUCAAAGACUCAAAGGGAGCAGACAUCCUUGCUGGCAGCCUGUGCAUUGAUGGCUGGUGCAUUGUAUCCCCUCUAUAGCAGAUCAUGUGCCUUGUCUACACAGAGAGAUUUUCUCCAGGAGCAGGUCAACACUUUUGAAUUGUUCAAAUUGGAAAUUAGAACUUUAGUUGAAGCAUUGUCAGCAGUAGAGGAAAAGAAGCAAGAGGAAGCCAAGAUGAAGAAAAAACCAUUCAAAGGAUUGAUACGUGUAUUCCGGAAAGGUGUUAUUGCAAUUUUGGCAGCAAACAGACUCAAGAUUUUGGGCCAAUCAUGUGGCUCUCUUUUUACUUGGAUGGAAAGUUUCAAAGAAGGCAUAGGCAUGUUAGUGUGUACAGGAGAGCCCAAAGACAAGCUUAAAUUUCCAAAACAUCAAAAGGAGCAGUUACGUUGUUUGCAAGCACUCAGUUGGCUCACCAGUUCUGAUCUUCUUGCUGCAAUAAUCAGUUCUAUGGCUGAGUUACAAGAAGUCAUUAGUAAAACAGGUAUGAUCUCCCCUUUUAUGUCAUUGCAAAAUAUACUUAAAAGCAAAUGUCCAGAAAUUCUUUAUGGCUAAUAAACCAUCUAGGAAGAAAAUGUAUUUGUUCUUUUCUUUUUUUAUUCAGUCACAGACAGCUUAUUCAAC
rnacentral:lncRNA from 1 species